rnacentral:rRNA from 1 species
GACGAACGCUGGCGGCGUGCUUAACACAUGCAAGUCGAACGGAAAGGCCCUGCUUUUGUGGGGUGCUCGAGUGGCGAACGGGUGAGUAACACGUGAGUAACCUGCCCUUGACUUUGGGAUAACUUCAGGAAACUGGGGCUAAUACCGGAUAGGAGCUCCUGCUGCAUGGUGGGGGUUGGAAAGUUUCGGCGGUUGGGGAUAGACUCGCGGCUUAUCAGCUUGUUGGUGGGGUAGUGGCUUACCAAGGCUCUGACGGGUAGCCGGCCUGAGAGGGUGACCGGCCACAUUGGGACUGAGAUACGGCCCAGACUCCUACGGGAGGCAGCAGUGGGGAAUAUUGCACAAUGGGCGGAAGCCUGAUGCAGCAACGCCGCGUGCGGGAUGACGGCCUUCGGGUUGUAAACCGCUUUCGCCUGUGACGAAGCGUGAGUGACGGUAAUGGGUAAAGAAGCACCGGCUAACUACGUG